rnacentral:lncRNA from 10 species
UGAAACUGUAGGAAAAGACCUAAUAAAGCACAUUUGAAGUGUGUGAAAUAAAGAAGACAAUAUACAUAUUGGCCCUUAUUGGAACAUGUUGCUGAUCUAGAACGGAACAAUUAGAUGAGUCUAGGCUAUUUCUGGACUCCCCAUCUCCCUGUCAACUGGGAACAAGCUGGCCCGUGACUCCCUAGCUCCCCAGCAGUCAUGACACAGUCUCAUGGUUAGAACCGGAUUCAGCAAUCCUGAAACCACGUCUCUGAACAACCUCCAAUGUGAGAAUUCCUCCUACAGACUUCCCUUGAACAAGGACACAGUCUCAGCUUAAGCACCUCAGGCCACCGGGAGCCCACUUCUUCUCCUUCCAUUGUUUAAGAAUGUUAUUCCUUAUUUCAAAUCACAAUGUGACAACACGCACUGAUUAAUAGGAUGGGUUUUGGAGCUGGAGAAAUAUAGAGUCUAAUCCUG